rnacentral:rRNA from 1 species
AUUGAACGCUGGCGGCAUGCCUUACACAUGCAAGUCGAACGGCAGCGGACCUUCGGGUGCCGACGAGUGGCGAACGGGUGAGUAAUGCAUCGGAACGUACCUUUCAGUGGGGGAUAACGUAGCGAAAGUUACGCUAAUACCGCAUAUUCUGUGAGCAGGAAAGCAGGGGAUCGCAAGACCUUGCGCUGAUUGAGCGGCCGAUGUCAGAUUAGCUAGUUGGUGAGGUAAAGGCUCACCAAGGCGACGAUCUGUAGCGGGUCUGAGAGGAUGAUCCGCCACACUGGAACUGAGACACGGUCCAGACUCCUACGGGAGGCAGCAGUGGGGAAUUUUGGACAAUGGGGGCAACCCUGAUCCAGCCAUGCCGCGUGAGUGAAGAAGGCCUUCGGGUUGUAAAGCUCUUUCGGCCGGGAAGAAAUCGCACGGGCUAAUACCCUGUGUGGAUGACGGUACCGGAAUAAGAAGCACCGGCUAACUACGUGCCAGCAGCCGCAGUAACAC